rnacentral:rRNA from 1 species
AUUGAACGCUGGCGGCAGGCUUAACACAUGCAAGUCGAGCGGGGUGAUGGUGCUUGCACUAUCACUUAGCGGCGGACGGGUGAGUAAUGCUUAGGAAUCUGCCUAUUAGUGGGGGACAACACCUCGAAAGGGAUGCUAAUACCGCAUACGUCCUACGGGAGAAAGCAGGGGAUCACUUGUGACCUUGCGCUAAUAGAUGAGCCUAAGUCGGAUUAGCUAGUUGGUGGGGUAAAGGCCUACCAAGGCGACGAUCUGUAGCGGGUCUGAGAGGAUGAUCCGCCACACUGGGACUGAGACACGGCCCAGACUCCGACGGGAGGCAGCAGUGGGGAAUGUUGGACAAUGGGGGGAACCCUGAUCCAGCCAUGCCGCGUGUGUGAAGAAGGCCUUAUGGUUGUAAAGCACUUUAAGCGAGGAGGAGGCUCUUUUGGUUAAUACCCAAGAUGAGUGGACGUUACUCGCAGAAUAAGCACCGGCUAACUCUGUGCCAGCCGCCGCAGUAA